AGGCGUGUUUAUAAAAGCACUUGGGUAAAUGGGUGCAAUUUCUUCUGUAGAUAAGAUCUGAAAAUACAAACACGGGUCUUAAUCUGCAAACACUUGAAUUUAAGCGCUUGAUUAGUUCCAUUUAAGUCAAUGGGACUGCUCUAGUGCUUGCAGGUAAGUGUUUUAGGAUCAAAGCCCUUGGCGCUGCUCCAGAAAGCUGCUCUAUCAGGAAGACAGUGAAGAAUUUCCCUCUAAAAUCCAACGCGGUGCUCUAAUAUUCACAUUCUCCCUAAGCGAAAAGCCGGCGGUGCUAAUGAGCUUCACCAGCGGGUACCUUGGGGAAGGAUGCAAAGGAGGCUGUGAGAGAUAAUGGCUGUCCCUGGAGGCCCAGCUCUCCCCUCUGUCGGUCUGAGAAGAGGCACUUGUAUUUAUUCACCUGUGCUUUUCAGUGGGCAACAAUCUGGAUGGCACGUUCUUGCGGCAUCCUCUCCUGCAUAGGUUGCAGAGUACUUCAGCGGGAUGCAGGAUUGCAUUGCACUCAAACUGCUGCAUUCCUCCAGAGCCCCAUGAAGGAAAUAUACACAGUGAUUGAGGUUAUUAAUCAGUGGUUGGACAUCCUGCAAGAAAAUAUUGCGUUCUCAAAGGUUGGCUGAAACUUAGCCACCAAUGCAUGGAUCUCCCUUUUGCUUCCAAGGAGCAAAGAGAAUGAAGACAGGCCUUCAAGAAGGAACUAAUGUAGAAUUACACUUGCAUUUGAAUUUACAGUCUAGGUUGGUUCCCUGCAACUCAUUCCUUCUCUCUUCAUUUUCCCCCCUUUCCAUUAAAUUACUUCCCAAACCCAAUUUCCAAUGAUUUUUUCCUGGAUUAGCUCCCCUUAAUAACACUUCCACAGCCAAGGAGUGAGAAGGAUGAGUGAUAAUGAGCCACCUUUUUUCCCUGUCAUCAAAUAGUCAGAAGGAUGGAGAAAUCUUGACAUGUCUGUCACUAAUCCCAGAUCAGAUGGAAAAGAACACACUGCUCACGUCUGCUGCUGUCUUUGCUUGUGAAGCAAGAAAGAAGAACGUGUAAAGAGACGUAAUAACACAACCUAGAACUCCACCCUGCUCCUUUUCAGCCAGGAACAUGCACAAAUCUGUUUAUGGGUUGGAAAUACAUCAAUACCCACUUAGCCCCAGGAAAGUGUGUGAAGCAACUGGUGCAGCGUGCUGUUAGACGCAGGGUACUGGCUGAAAAGAUCUUGAAUCUCUUCUGAAGUGACAGCUGCUUGGUACGUGCUUUUCCCUGCAUGGCACAGGGAUGACACUAUUUCUCUGAGCUUUGUUUUUCCAGUCUAUGUACGCUACGUACUUUCUGGAGCAAGGGCUGCUUCAGUGGCAUUUCGAACUUCACUGAAGUCUCUACGAUGGGACUGUAUUAAAAUAGUAAAGAAAUCACAAGCAUGUUCACAUAAUAAUUAUUAUGCAAAGUCAGGAGGGGGAGGGGAAAAAAAGAGUGUGAGAUUUCUUUGAAAGGCUGCCAGGUACAGGUACAGACACAAAAGAUGUUUGAAGUGGGAGCACACUCUUAUCAGCCUGAAGGAAUUACUGAUACAGCAGCUCCCCUUGUUCAGAAGACUGCUCUCAACUUUCAUUUUAUGACAUUUGUUUACUUUACUGAAUUAUUUUCCUAUUUUUUUUCUUACGUUGGCUCCCAAGAGUCUCCUUUGGGUUCACACAGUGUUUCACUACUUCCAGAAGAUUUUUGUUCAGCUCAGCUCUUCUUUGUAACUUUCUGCUAUAGCCAGGUAAGUAUGGACAGCUAAUUAAUGUAGACUUCAGCUUUUAUUUCCUCUUCUUUUCAGUUAAAGGAGCUGAAAAGAAAUAUUCUGAAGUUCCCAAGAAGUGCUGCUUUUCAGGUCUUCCUGGAAAAAAAAGUGUUCAUGUUUGACCUUGACUUGUAUGUCUUUCCAUUCGCACUGCCUGGCAGCAAAUUAAUAUAUCCUAAUAGUGCACAAAGUGGAGAAAAAGGCAGAGACACUGAAAGAAAGAGAGCAAGCACCUUGUAGCAUCUAUCUUUCUGUGCAGUUUUGCUAGCUUUUCUGCUACUGUGUUAGAGACUGUUUUUUUCACAUCUCAAGAAGUUCAUCGGCAGAGAACAGAACAUCUGAAAGCAGUAGGUUGGUAGGGCAUGCCUGCUUUGUGUGUGCUGCUAUACAGGUUUACUGUCAGAAGUCUGCAUUAGUUGCCUCAAGUUUCUAUGCAGUUUCAAACUAAUCUGAUGUAAGACAAGAAAAUUCAGCCUCUCUUCCUGAAGUGAAAUUUCUUCUCUGAAGAACACAAGCCAACAUACAGCAGAGCACUACUGUGUACAUGUUCCAAGAAUGAAGCAGUACUGGCAUCUGCAAGCCCUGGGUUCUUACCCAGUGUGCAGCAGCCUUUUGCUCCUACUGCCUCUUGCCAUGGGGGCAGGCAGCGCCUCAAGAAAGCAGAGAUGAACACACAUGCUCCAGGGACAUAAAAUUAUCAGUAACUCGUGACCUACCCAAAGUCCUGGCAGCAGAACUUGCUAGUCAGAGAUGGUUUGGCAAUGGAAGUUUUCCUGUAGAUUACCAGACAAUUACAGUGACAAUACCUUGGACAUACUGCAGAAAGGUUUUUGUUGAGCACUGGCUGAAUGUGUUCUGACUUGAGUCUCUUCACAAACGGUGUGACCUGUGCUGCCAUUGAUAGGGAGCAGGGAAAGAGCACCUGAUGUGAAAACGGAGAUUCAAGAAGCUUGCUUUCAAGAAGAUUCCUGUGGAUCUCCAUGCUUCAAGUAGCAGUUGGUUCACCUGUAUUAACAAGUUUUUCACUCCUGUGUUUACAAGAAAGAAAAGGCAUAUAGAUACCUAACAUCAAUUAUCGCAUAUUUGCAUUAAGUAUACAUUAAAUAAUACUGCUCCAAAUAACUUUCUUGUGAUGAAAGAAUUCAAUUACAAGCGCUUUCUCAGCGACUCUCAAAAGUUGUUUGCCCUCCUGUUUAUACCCUCCCUUCAAGUACUAAAAGGCCACAAUGAGGAUUCCCCGGAGCUUUUUCCAAGCUAAACAAGCCCAGUUCCCUCAACCUUUCUUCAUGAGAGAGGUGCUCCAGCCCUCUGGUCACCUUCACGGUCUUCCUCUGGACCCAGCUUCUCUAGAUCAGCUACAAUAGUGUGAGAUGGAGCUUUUCUGAAGCAGCAAAUAGGAGACAGUUGGACAGAAACUGAGCACCAAAAUUGGCUUCACCAUCUUGACGUGCCUGAAACGUGCCUGAGGAUUUUGGUUUUGUUAUUUUUGAUGGGUUUAGAAUACAAGCAGAUUGAACACCCUAUUCUGUACAAGGAGGCACCGAGACCCAGCUUUCCCUAUGUGUUGUUCUGAGUUCAACUGCGAGACUCUGAACGAGCCAGUAAAGUCAACCAGAGAUAAUAAAAUAUGAAUCACUUACACUCAGAUAUUCUGCAAGGGAGUCAAUGUGCUGCCAUAAGGAAAACCCUACAUUUGUGGCAUUUAACUGCAGAGUGUAAUGGAAAAAUUUGUCCUCCUCUUCUGAUUCCCUUUGGUAAAUAUUUAGAAGAUAGCAAAUUCUCACGCAAAUUUCCAUAUGUCUGAAUGACCACAUUGUGAAGGAUUUGAUACACAUGUUGAAAAAUAAUAAGAGUUGCUGUAAAAGGAUGUAUUACUUUUUAAAUCAUAGGAUCAUGGAACCACAGAAUGGCCUGGGUUGAAAAGGACCUAAAAGAUCAUCCAGUUUCAACCCUCCUGACGUGGGCAGGGUCAACAACCACCAGAACAGGCUGCCCAGAAGAACUGGUAGAGUAUUUCUUAGAACCCAGAAGAAUCAGAAGGGAGCGGUUCUAUGGAGUUUAAGAAUCAGCAUUUAAAAAUCAUAUCAGGAAAGGCUGGUGUAAAAAUCAACACAGCUCUCAGUGGUUGAACAUGUUGUAAAAAGCAGACUGGCGGAGAGAAAAAACGAUGAUUUCUACUGUGAGGGCUGUUACAAAACUCAGACCAUGAGCUGGGAGAAAUCACAUAGCUGUCCAUCUGUAGCCACUUUCAGAGAGGAUAAAAGAGAACUUUAGACUCUCUGACAGCUCUUCAGAAGGUAUAAAAUUCUCUUCUUUUUUUUUUCAUUUUCAGACGUUUUUUGAUAUAACGGCUUAGAAGCUAAAAAAGCAGGAAAGUUUGUGCUCUACCAACCUAUGGGAAACAAAAAAUAAAGAUUGCAACAAGAGCCAUUGGUUUAAAGCCUUAAAAAACACUGUGUUUGGAAUUACUCAGUUCAAUCCACUUGGCAAAAUAUUUUUACCUAAUAAAUAAGUUACUUUGGAUAAAGACAGGUACUUGGAAGCCAAAAUGUUUUUGCUAAGCUUUCUUUCUGAUUUGUUCCAUGUAUGGGUUCUUAAUGAAUAUCAGUUCCCAGGAUAAAGCAGGUUGCAAUAACACCUAUGCAUUCGGGCAGCUGGUAAAUAUUUAUUGAACAUUUUUAACAUGAAAGGAAGGAAAAAACAGACUAUAAGAAUGUAAGUUAAGCGACGUAAUAGCAUAGAUACGUAAAUAGUGUGUUCUCCUGAAGAGCAGUAAGGACAAAAUCAACUGUAAAAUUAUACAUAGUGACAAGUGAAUAAGUCCUUUUGUUUCCAAGCCAAUGACGACUAAUUCUCUUCAGGAAAAUAGCAGUGUGUGCAAAACAAGGCAAAGUGUUUUAAAGCAAUGUUCUUUGCUGCUGCUUUAGUUAUGAUCAAAAAUUCAAGCUGAUUGUGAUCCUUAUGGAAGACUAUACUCCAAUAUGCAGCUCAGACAACAGACAUUUUCGGGUACUGUUCAUCUUGCAUCAACAGCAGGAACACCACAGCCCCUUUCCUAGAAACACAGCCCUUCAUUCGAGACUUUCAGUCUAAACAGAAGUCAAACUGUGCCAUGGGUAACCUGAGACUCAGUCUCAAGAGCUGUGCCUUCCCAAGAUGUUUUUCCCCAGUCAGCAGUAACUCAGCUGGCACUGUGGGCUGGUCUAGGAGGAACACACGCUCCACUUUCUUUGACGAGAGAUUCCUUUGGUUAGUUCUGUGGUAAUGAAAAUUAUAGGGAGGAAUGAUGAAAACUGAACUUCAGACUGUUUUACAUUCUUUCAGUACUAUUUAGCAUGAUGGUUGUUGACUUCUCCCCUGCUGCUAUAUUUAGAAAGGGGUGUAGGAGGGAGACAAGCGUUAGUAUUAUGGGUUAUGACACAAAAACAUCAGAAGUCGGUUCCCAUUUCUCUUUGGUAUCCUCUGGAGAGCUCCAGUAUUUACAGAAAGCUCCAGUUCCACCACAGCAGUCCAAGAGAAUGGGCACCCAUUUAGACUCUGGGACCACGCAGAGCUGCACAAGGUGGGGGGGUAACUGGGAUGUGAACAUUUUUUCUUCACAGAUCUUCAUUUCCCACCACCAGAUAAGCUUCAAAUAACUUCCACUCCUGGUGGAAUUUUUCUUUCUUAUACGUCAGUGCUUGGUUCAUUUUAGAAUUAAGAGAAAAAAGAAGAAGAAAAAAUAUCCCAAGCUUCCUCUGCAUUCAAAAAAUCAACAAAAAAAUCCAUGGGAAAAAAAAUAAUUGCAUAAUGCCCCAGAAGAAACAGGCAUGAAUUGAAGUCACCCCCUGCAGAGAAUGUUGGGUCUGUUUAUUUUAAAUGAACUAUUACGGAUUUUGUGAUGUUUUUCUGGAAGUUUUUCAUAAGCAUUCCUGCUUCCUCUUGCUGCAGGCCAGGCUGAGGUAGCAGGCUGGAGGAGCUCUUCGGACCUGACCUCCAGCCAUGAGAGAGCGCCUCAGCUCCAGCCCAACUGUGGCAGUUUUUAAACUGCAACAUGCAUUAAAAAACUCAACAGCUCCACAGGCUAAGCCAUAAACACAUCUGACACCAAAUGGGAAAGCUUGAUAUCUCCCAGGAAUAAUAAAGAGACAGAGGAAGAGCUCAGUGCAGCCCCUCUGCUGCCUGUUAGGAUCAGCAGCCGCCAUGAGGCCUCCUCUCAGCUCCUCUGCUUUGCACAAAGCGAAGGCCUCAGCUGCUCCUCACACACCUUGCCCUCCAGACCCUUCCCCAUCUUUGUUGCCCUCCUUUGGACACUCUCUAAUAGUUUUUUUGUUUACGAUUCCAUUUAUAUUGUGGCACCAAAACUGCACGCAGUACAGGAGACUGAGCCCCUCCUAAGCUCAGCUCUUACUCUCGCCCUUCCCUCUUGUUGCCCUCACAGCACCUCCUGGGGACAGCGAGAGAUGCAUGGGGUCACCUCUGUAGAUCCUCCACCCGUUUUGCUGCUGUAAUUCCUUUCUGAAUGCCAGGGGCCCAUAACCAGCAGAAGCUGGCAAGCCCUGCAGCAGGCAGCACGGACCUGUGGCUGGGGUAGCUGUGUGCGAAUGAGAGCCUCUCCAGCUACGACACCGAAAUCUGCCCACUCUCCUGCCUACAGAUUCUCUCUGAAGAACAAAUUCAGCAUGACGGCAACAACUGAAGAAAACAAAAAGCCCUGUAACUUCCAGCAGAAAGUGUGUGCUGUCAGGACGGUUUCUCUUCCUGCCUUCCUACCAUUCACCCCAAAUUAAUGUCUGUGGCUCCACGUGGCUCCUGCCUCCUCCCCAUUCCCUCACUACAAACUAAGCUCAGAUGCUGCAGAUGCACGGAGGGUUUCUCAGCGUUUCCAUCCACACCAGAGACCAUUCUGCACAUCUGAUGCACACGUGAAACUGCUUCACAGGGGUCAGGUCAGGAGACCACGUUUUCAUUUGGAGCUACACCAAGCCCAAGUUUUAUCAUUUGUUUGUUUUUAAAGCAAAAAUAUACAACUCACUUGACUUCACAGGAGAAGAAAGCGCUGCAGAGAAUCCUUCACGCUGGCAGGGUUGGGUUACAGCUCCUCCACGUCCCACCCACACGGCUGAACCCAGCGCCUGGUCACCGGGAGGAAAUGAAAUGCACAUGUCAGCGGUCCUGCUCACCCUUCCUGCUCCCAAGUAGAGCUGUUCUGCUGCAGCCACAGAGAUCCCAGGACCAGAGGAUGAGCCAAGAGGAGGGGUGCUUGCUAUAUCUUUUCUUGGACAAACUGUGUAUCGAAAUCAAGCUUUCUGAGCCAGAAGUAAUGAAAAAGCAUUGCUUGGAAGCAAUUUGCGUUUGCGUUUGCGUUUUCACACCAAGGCUCAGAGCUGUGUGAUAGGUUGGCAAGAGCUUAAACGUAACAAAAUUAACAUCAAAGCUCAAUGAAAAUGGACAACAAUAUUGCAAAUUCCGUACAGGAGAAUAUGUCAGUUUGAUUAAGUGACCAGUAAGUAACAAACAUGACUGACUGUAAAUUUAAAAGCAACUGCUAUACUUCUUCUGUUAGAACAAGAGUUUUCUUAGAGUUCUCUUCCCCCUCAGAUUCCUCUUCCCUUCUCCUUGUUUCCAAGUUGGAAAGCAGAGGAACCAGGACGUCAACUUCUGAAUUUAUUUCUCCAGGAAUAAAACAAAGGUGAGAGAUUCCUUCUAAUGCGAGCUCUAGGCUACCAGCACUGGGCUUCGUUAGCAAAGAAGCUAAAAGGAAUUAACCAUUUAUAGUCCAGAGAAAAAUCAAAGCAGAAUGGCUUUUUGAUAAAUAUUAAAGCCCAUCGAUCCCCAGUAAGUACCAUAUCAGGCUGCUGAAGACUUCCAAGUUGCCACAGCAGCCCCAAUGGAGAAGAGCCAAAGAGCCAAAGGACUCUGAGGAAAAAGCCACAGCAGAGCCCCAGCCCCUGCUGAGAGCUGCGCAUGUGGCACAGCACCCACAGCUUGGCAUGGGACCACAGCUGCCCAGCAACACCUCCUUGCAGCCAGAGCACUGCCAGAAAUGCAUCCAGGAAGGGGAGAACAAAAGGGAAGCAGAACUGGAGCCCAACCAACGCUAGGAAGUCUCAGUGUAAGAGAAGCACAUUCAGCUGCCCAUUUCUUCUGAAUAGCAUUGCAGGAAGAUGGCUGUCUGCAUCAGCUGGGUUUCUAGACGGAUGAAAACUGAACCAAUGUUUAUAACUGAGAUUAUAACAUAACAGAGAGGAUAAUAGGAAAAAAAAAAAAGAUGAGUGGUGAAACCGAGCUGAAACUUUACCAUUCCUUCUGCUUGUUAGCAGAUGCAGGAGGAACCAGGCAAGCAUAAUAUGGGACAACCUGUGUAAUUAGAACAGACGUCUGCGUUGACUAAAGUGUCCUGGAUGUUAGGUGUAGAGGUGGACUCUGGAAUGUACAGAUGAAAACAGCUUCUUAAUAUCAGUUUGCUUACAGAGAAGGAGACAUUUUAUCUGGCGUUAAAUAUUUAUGGAUAUAUUUCCAGCGAGAUUCCUUGUAGCCUUAAAGAAAAUUCAAAUCUACUACCUUAAGCAAAGCGGGCUUCAAAAAACUGGAUGUCAGACUGUACAAAUAAAGUAUUAGUUUAGGCAUGGUAGACUUUAUUUUGGCACUUUAACAAAUGCUUUAUUUUACAGCAGUGGCACAGCAUUUGCCAGAAGUUUUCUUUUCUUGGCACAGUUAUCUCAAGCAGUUAUUUUACUAAUUGAAUUUCACUAAAUAUUGCACAAUAAGAUAUACCUGUUAAAUUCUUACCCUGUUUUUACUUGUUGAACUUGUAUGGCUUCGAAAAAACCUGCCAGUAAGUAUAAGUAAUUUAAAAAGCAAUAUAUUAAAUAUUUUAGCACAGGAUAGCGUUCGUUUGUUUCUAAAUGACCACUGAACUUGGGACAGCGACAAAUACAAGUGACGCAACUCUUAUCUGAAGAGCUAAUAGCUCUUAUUUACAACACGGUGCCUUUUCUGAGAAGCAGUUCAGCUCGACAUCCCGAACAUCUAACUCUGGAAAUUUCAAAAUCAAAAGAGUGGAGGUUAACAGAGCAGAAGACGAAGCCAUUUGUCUGUGACAAAGCGUAAUAUAGAGAGGCAGACUAUCGUCUUCUCCACGUGUUCCCCUCUCCAACACCUAUCUGCGAUCUAAGCAACAGAGCCUUUCAUCUUCUACUUGGAAUAUUUCUUUCUUCUCUUAUGAAGAUAUUCCACUUGUCUCAACUCUUCUGCUGGAGUCCGAGCAGAAUCAAAUUUCUCCAAUAGGCCAGGGGAAAAAAAAUAAUAAUAAAAGAAAUGACAAAUCAAAAACUAAUAUACACAACAAAUGGAAUCGGGUACUCCUUUGAAUUUUACAGUACUGAAAACAACAUUUGCAGGAAGAGCAGGUCUGCGUCAAUACUGCCAUUAAAUGUAACACAGAGGCCAAAUGACUCGGAACCCUCACACCGUGUGUAGCACUUAUACAUUCCAGGCUUUCUGUGCCUCUUCGGCAGUAAAUCUGGUCUGAGGAUCAGCCUUAUCAACAGCCUUUUUGGUUUUGUUUCGGGUGGAUUUUGAGGACCUACUGGACGAACGUGGUGACAUUAAAACAUAACCAUGGCAGACACAAAACAGAAAACAUACAAAAGUAUAUCACAAUGGAAUUGUCAGUAUUAGGCCACAUGAUUUAUUCAGUAGUGUUUAUGUUCCCAAAUUACAAUGAUGUCUAUCCAUGUAAGACUACAAAAGUUACCAUUAGAAUUGUCUGUGCUUAUAAAAUACCAACAUUUUCUUUUACUGUUAUAUACUCAUUAACACCAGUCUGCGACAAGUUACAUAUAAUCAUAGGCACUUCAAAGGCUUUAAAAGACGUUUACAACUUAAAUGCAUUUUUAAAGAACAAAAAUUUAAACCCCUACAUGUACCUUCAAAUUGCAAAUAAUUAACAAAUACAGUGGCCAUAGAAAUCUGCAGCAACUUCUCAAAAUACUGUUAGAGUCUUUGGGUUUGCUUAGGUUUGUCAGUAGCUUACUUCAAAUCUUCCUGACAGGAGAUUUUAGUAAGAACACGACCAUACAGUUUGUAGUGAUGAUCCAAUUUUACACGUUAAUUCGCUGUUACAAAUCUCACUGAAGCUACAGGUACGCUGAGAAACAAUGCAAAGUGUAAAAUUGAUAAUCCGACACUUAGAUCUAUACAAAGUGGAGGUUAGAGUUUACAGAGCUGAAAAAUUACAUUGACACUAAAAGUCACUGUUAUCUGAAUUAUCUGAAGACAAAUUGCACCAUGACAACUACAAAAAGGCUUCUUUUUUUUUUUUCUCUUUUGGAAACAGAUAAAUUAAUGAAAUAAAAGCUAACUCGUAAGAUCAAUCUGAGACAUGCUGACAAAAAAUUAAACAGCUUCCAUUGACUCAUAGGAUAAAGCAAUCGUUUUCAUUAUAUUUAUGCAUCAAGUUUUAAAAAUGAUUCGGUUGAACACCAAUGGUUCUUAUAAAAUAAAUGCUUUGCCACUGUUAUCCACAGAACGCUGCAAGUGUUAAGUUUUAAUUUUACAUUUUUAAAGGAAUACGUGUAAAGUUUUAAAUACAAUGGGAUUUUAUCAUAAAGGUGCCGUGAUGGCUCUUUAAUGAAAAAAAAAAAAAAAAAAAAAAAAAAAAA